CCGGAAGCAUUUUGGAGCUGUUUUGAGCCUGUUUUGGGGCGAAAUAGUGCCGUCCGUAACAUAUAGGUUUGAAGCAACUAGGUAACUCAGACCUAAUCAACCUCUUUUUUCACCAGUAUACACAAAGUCAGUAACUCUUCGUUUUAUAUAUCCCCAAUGAACAAAAAAUUUUAGAUAACUCUAAAGCACAAAGACAGCAAGGUAAUCCAGAGCAAUGCAGGAAAAAUUCUUGAGGUCCAUACAUCAGUGCAUUUGGGAGCAGUUUUCCUCUGCAAAAAAAAAAAAAAAAAAAAAAA
rnacentral:lncRNA from 1 species